GGGUCAUUAGCUCAGUUGGUAGAGCAGUGGACUUUUAAUCCAUUGGUCGAUGGUUCG
rnacentral:tRNA from 1 species